rnacentral:lncRNA from 1 species
AAACUCAAAACCAUCUCCCUAUUGCCCUCCAUCAACACCACAAUCACUCCCAAAACCACCCCUACCCUACUCCUGACGCCCCCUCCUUACCCCACCCUAGGAUCCACCCUUCGUUUAUCCCAUUAUUUUCUCUUCGAUCAGUCUCUGAAUUCAUCAAUUUCACAACUUUCACACCCAAACCAUUCUCUUAUUCGUUUAUUGUGUUUUUUUUGCUAUGCUUAAUUUGUAAACGAGAGUAAUUGCGAGGAAUGGAUGAGAGGAAAUCGAAGAGACCGAACGGUUUCAGCAGCCGGAGCUGCGGAGUCAGCAGCAGCAGCAGAAGUAGCAGCGGCUCGUACGACACCGUAUGGGAGUGCGUGACCCCGUACGUGCAGGACCCGCGCGACCGGGACGCGGUGUCGCUGGUGUGCAAGCNNNN